UAUUGUUUAUAUUUUAUUUAUUAAAAAAAUAUUCUGAAUUGUAUCAAUACUGUUAACGCGGAAAAAUUGUUGUUGACCCAAAUUCGAUACCGCGUACCUAUUAACUAAAAAACUGCGCCUUAAGUACAAAAAAAUCAGACAUGUGAUAAGCAAAAAUCAGUAUCUUGGAAGAAAAAAAUUAAUAUUUAUUUGAUUAUUUCAAGACUAUAAUUGAUAAGCAUUAUGGAUAAAAAACAUUGACCUAUAACUGAUAGGUAAAAAAGUGAGUGAUAAAAAGUUAAAAAGAUUAAAAAUUUGUUUUUUUAAUAUGCCAAGCGUCUACUGCUCACGUAUUUUUUAAAAGUAAAAUAAACUACAUUUUGAAUUGUAACUAGUAGUACUGUGUUGUUUUAUUGUUAUUGCCAUUUUUGAACGGUUUUUUUUGUUGUUACAUGUAUUUCAUCAAAAUGGUUAUGAUGUGCUCAAUUCCACUUUGUAAAAUUAUUGCAUCAAAACAACACAAUGUUGAACUAAACAAGUUUCCAGCAUCAGAAGAACAUUGGCGUAUAUGGCUAGACCGUAUUAUGGCAUAUUAUCCUAAUUUUAAAAUUAGCAAAUUCUAAACUGGAUGUAGUAAACAUUUUGCUGCAAUUGAUUUUUUGAAAACCACUAGAUCUACAUCCUUUUCACUACGUAAAGAUGCAGUACCCUCAUUAUUCGACGUUGAUGAAUGUGUAUAUAUUUUCAAUAAUGGUGAACUUGAUGGUGAUUCAGAUAUUACUAGCCCAUCUAUUGUUGAUGUUAUGGAAAUUUCCAUAGGUGUAACUACACCUAUUACUGUUGAUGGUAUGGAAGUUACACCAUUAAAGAUGAAUUAUAGUUUUGGUAUUGUUGAAGUUAUAGAAGUUACACCAACAUAAUAUUCAUUUUGUAAAGAUGCAGUUUCCCUGUUGUUUGAUGAUGAAGAAUGUGAGCCAGUUUUCAAUGAUUGUGAACUCUAUGGUGAUUUAGAUAUUACUAGCCUAUCUUUUGUCGAUGUCAUGGAAACUUCCAUUUUGGAUAUUCAAGUACCAGUAACUCCAAAAGAAUGACGAAUACCUCCAAUAAGCCCAUGGAAAGAAAAUGGGUAUUUGGUGAUUUUAAAGCUGAUGACCUGAAUACUCCCAAAAAACGCAAACGAUAUUGGGAUAUAUCACAAUAAACUGUAUCCAAAUACAAAUAAAAUAAAAUUGUUGCAUUAAAAGAAUACGUGGUUGACCAAGAAAGUUAAAAUUUUAUGUCAAUUGAUCGAUUAUCUCAAAGAAAAGAAAAAAAUUUCAGAAAACUGUUUUUCUUAUCGUAUUAAGUAUUAAGUAAAAUAUUAAAAAUUGUAUAAAUAUAUAAUGGUACACUUAUAGGGCUGAGAUUUUCAUUCCCUAAUAAAAUUGCUUGAGAAUGCUCUAAAAAUUAUGAAUAAUGCACUAAAAAG